rnacentral:lncRNA from 1 species
UCGCACCCCAAGUCAAACAUAGAGAGUCCAAGAUUCUCCACACAAAACAAUGAUAUAAACGAGUGCGUCGCACCCGAAUCAAACAGGACAUGCACAUUUCUGCCAAACAAAGAACAAGUAUCAAGUAUCAGGUUACCUGACUUCUCGGCUUCUGCUCCCGACAUGGCAAACACUCUGCCCGCAGCCUGCGGCUUUCCACCAUUAGUUGACUUCUGAGGCGUUCCACCAAAUGACUUCUUCUCAGGGCAAUAAAGAGAGAUAUGCCCAGGCUUGUUACAUGUGAAACACGUUCUCACCUCCUUCCUGACGUUACUCAGCUUUGGACAAUUUCUUCG